GUAUGAAAUGCUUCAUUUACCAGUUGGCAUCAAGAUUCAAUUCACAAUAAAGCCAGCAUAAUCCUGAGAGCAAACAACAGUCUUGCCAAACCUUUCUGCCAAGCUCUUUGUUACAUUAUACGUCUCAUCUGAUUUAUCUGCACCCCUGAUAAUUUAAACCAGUUUCAUAAUCGGAGGAGGA